rnacentral:rRNA from 1 species
UACGGAGGGGGUUAGCGUUGUUCGGAAUUACUGGGCGUAAAGCGCGCGUAGGCGGAUUAGAAAGUUGGGGGUGAAAUCCCGGGGCUCAACCCUGGAACUGCUCUUGAAACUCCUUGUCUAGAGACCUGGAGAGGUGAAGGGAAUUCCGAGUGUAGAGGUGAAAUUCGCAGAUAUUCGGAGGAACACCAGUGGCGUAGGCGCUUCACUGGACAGGUACUGACGCUGAGGUACGAAAGCGUGGGGAGCAAACAGG